rnacentral:rRNA from 1 species
UGCGUAGGCGGCAAUUCAAGUCAGGUGUGAAAUGCCUGAGCUCAACUGAGGCAUUGCGCUUGAAACUGAACUGCUUGAGUAUCCCAGGGGUGUGCGGAACUGCCAGUGGAGCGGUGAAAUGUGUUGAUAUUGGCAGGAACACCGGAGGCGAAAGCGGCACACUGGGGGAUAACUGACGCUGAGGCACGAAAGCCAGGGGAGCGAACG